UGGGGAAUAUUGGACAAUGGGCGCAAGCCUGAUCCAGCCAUGCCGCGUGAGUGAAGAAGGCCUUAGGGUUGUAAAACUCUUUCGCCGGGGAAGAUAAUGACGGUACCCGUGGAGGAAGCAUCGGCUAACUACGUGCCAGCAGCCGCGGUAAGACGUAGGAUGCAAGCGUUGUCCGGAUUUAUUGGGCGUAAAGAGUUCGUAGGCUGUUUGUUAAGUCUGAUGUUAAAGACUGGGGCUCAACCUCGGAAAUGCAUUGGAUACUGGCAGACUGGAGUGCAGUAGAGGCUAGUGGAAUUCCCAGUGUAGCGGUGAAAUGCGUAGAUAUUGGGAAGAACACCGGUGGCGUAGGCGACUAGCUGGGCUGUAACUGACGCUGAGGAACGAAAGCCAGGGGAGCGAAUGGGAUUAGAUACCCCGGUAGUCCCUGAGCGGGCUGGCAAGGCGCAU
rnacentral:rRNA from 1 species